AAUAUUGCACAAUGGGCGAAAGCCUGAUGCAGCGACGCCGCGUGGGGGAUGAAGGCCUUCGGGUUGUAAACCCCUUUCAGCCGGGAAGAAGCGAGAGUGACGGUACCUGCACAAGAAGAGCCGGCUAACUACGUACCAGCAGCCGCGGUAAUACGCAGGGCGCAAGCGUUGUACGGAAUUAUUGGGCGUAAAGAGCUCGUAGGCGGUAAGCCGAGUCUGCUGGGAAAACCCGAGGCUCAACCUCGGGCCUGCAGUGGGUACGGGCUGACUAGAGUGUGGUAGGGGAGACUGGAAUUCCUGGUGUAGCGGUGGAAUGCGCAGAUAUCAGGAGGAACACCGAUGGCGAAGGCAGGUCUCUGGGCCACAACCGACGCUGAGGAGCGAAAGCAUGGGGAGCGAACA
rnacentral:rRNA from 1 species